rnacentral:rRNA from 1 species
UACGGAGGGGGCUAGCGUUGUUCGGAAUUACUGGGCGUAAAGCGCACGUAGGCGGCUUUGUAAGUUAGAGGUGAAAGCCCGGAGCUCAACUCCGGAAUUGCCUUUAAGACUGCAUCGCUUGAAUCAUGGAGAGGUGAGUGGAAUUCCGAGUGUAGAGGCGAAAUUCGUAGAUAUUCGGAAGAACACCAGUGGCGAAGGCGACUCACUGGACAUGUAUUGACGCUGAGGUGCGAAAGCGUGGGGAGCAAACAGG